AAAGAUUUAGUUAAAUGUUGUCAUAAUGUUAAUUUGUCAAAUUAAAGUUAGAUUAAAUUCUAGUCUUUA
rnacentral:tRNA from 1 species